rnacentral:tRNA from 1 species
AGUUAUUAACCAAAGAAGGUAUUAUGUUUUGAAAGCAUAUAUAUAAGAGGUUCAAUUCCCCUAAUAACUU